rnacentral:tmRNA from 1 species
GCGCUUGGAAUGCGUCCGGGCAGCGCCUAUAUUGGUUCUGUCCGGUUUCGGCCGGACUAUAGCGAUAAACGCGCUUGUAAUAAGCGGACCGGACCCGGGUGCGAUUCCCGGCGGCUCCACCAACUUUCUCCCCGCGUUAUCGGCGGAGGCAGCAUGGGGCCGACUAGCAUCGACGGACGUGUAAAGAGGAUUGCUUUCGCUCGUCCUGGCCCACCGUAUCGGGCCAUUUUCUAACUGCGAACGAUAACUUCGCUGGAGAAGUCGCUCUCGCCGCGUAAUGCGGUUCGGGUGAUUUCGAAUCUUAAGUCCUAGGGGUUCAGAUCCUUGGGCGGGGCCUGUCGGGAGCCUGGCAACAGAAUCCCGGCGCU